UCUCAACUAACCUCAACUCUAGCAUCUCAAACCUCUCAUUCCAACAGGACUGGCGCCCAGAGAGCAAAGCUCAACCAGGGACCUUACCUCCAGUCCGGUCACUUAACUCUCAGCCUUAGCCUUUCGGCUCUCUUAUCCAAUAAGACUGGCGCCCAGAGAGCAUAGCUCGACCAGGGACCUUACCUCCAGUCUGGUCACUUAAAUUUCCAAAUAAGCCGGCGCCCAGAGAGCAAUGCUCGACCAGGUACCUUUACUCCGGCAACCACACUCUACUAAGCCC
rnacentral:lncRNA from 1 species